rnacentral:rRNA from 1 species
AUUGAACGCUGGCGGCAGGCCUAACACAUGCAAGUCGAGCGGGGUUUUCGGACCUAGCGGCGGACGGGUGAGUAAUGCGUAGGAAGCUACCCGAUAGAGGGGGAUACCAGUUGGAAACGACUGUUAAUACCGCAUAAUGUCUACGGACCAAAGUGUGGGACCUUCGGGCCACAUGCUAUCGGAUGCGCCUACGUGGGAUUAGCUAGUUGGUGGGGUAAUGGCUCACCAAGGCGACGAUCCCUAGCUGGUUUGAGAAGAUGAUCAGCCACACUGGAACUGAGACACGGUCCAGACUCCUACGGGAGGCAGCAGUGGGGAAUAUUGGACAAUGGGCGCAAGCCUGAUUCAGCCAUGCCGCGUGUGUGAAGAAGGCCUUCGGGUUGUAAAGCACUUUCAGUAGGGAGGAAGGGUGUUGUGUUAAUAGCACAGCAUUUUGACGUUACCUACAGAAGAAGCACCGGCUAGCUCUGUGCCAGCCGCCGCAGUAACAC